CCAGUGGUAGCCAGCGCCAUCUUGUAAUGGCAUUUGCGGCUUCCCACAUCUACUUAGGUGAUUCUAGGGGCAUCUAAGGAAUCUAGCAGAGCAUGAACCUGAACCAGCCAAAAGUAAAUAUUUGAGUACCUGCAGCUGCAGAUCAAAAGGAUUCCAUCCUCACUUAUACCAAACUCGACCAACAACUUAUCCCCAUGGUUAAAUGGCUUGUCCAAGAUCAGGAAGAACAGUUGUGGAGAUCGUCAGUCAGACCCGGCACAGUUGCUGCUGCUGCAGGUUUCUGUAGUUUAACAGCAGAUUGGGACAGUAUUAUAUACCAUCGCACCCAUGGAGCUAGAAUCUAGGCCACUCAGCCAAACCAAGUGGGUUGCGGUGUCAGCUGGAAUUUUCCUGCACUAUCUGUGUUCCAUCCUGCCACACUGAGUGUGGCUCAGACAGGUACAACUGACACAACUCACCUGGGGAUCUUUGAUAUUCAGAUAAUAAAGGAGUCAUUCCUUCA